rnacentral:rRNA from 1 species
AACGAACGCUGGCGGCAUGCCUAACACAUGCAAGUCGAACGAGACCUUCGGGUCUAGUGGCGCACGGGUGCGUAACGCGUGGGAACCUGCCCUUAGGUUCGGAAUAACUCCCCGAAAGGGGUGCUAAUACCGGCUAAUGUCUUCGGACCAAAGAUUUAUCGCCAUUGGAUGGGCCCGCGUUCGAUUAGCUAGUUGUUAGGGUAAAAGCCUACCAAGGCGACGAUCCAUAGCUGGUCUGAGAGGAUGAUCAGCCACACUGGGACUGAGACACGGCCCAGACUCCUACGGGAGGCAGCAGUGGGGAAUAUUGGACAAUGGGCGAAAGCCUGAUCCAGCAAUGCCGCGUGAGUGAUGAAGGUCUUAGGGUUGUAAAGCCCUUUUACCCGGGAUGAUAAUGACAGUACCGGGAGAAUAAGCCCCGGCUAACUCCGUG